rnacentral:rRNA from 1 species
GACGAACGCUGGCGGCAUGCCUAAUACAUGCAAGUCGAGCGAACAGAUGAAGUGCUUGCACUUCUGACGUUAGCGGCGAACGGGUGAGUAACACGUAAGGAAUCUACCUAUAAGCGGGGGAUAACAUUCGGAAACGGGUGCUAAUACCGCAUAAUAUCUUCUUCCGCAUGGAAGAAGAUUGAAAGACGGCUCUGCUGUCACUUAUAGAUGACCUUGCGGUGCAUUAGUUAGUUGGUGGGGUAACGGCCUACCAAGACGAUGAUGCAUAGCCGACCUGAGAGGGUGAUCGGCCACAUUGGGACGGAGACACGGCCCCAACUCCUACGGGAGGCAGCAGUAGGGAAUCUUCCGCAAUGGGCGAAAGCCUGACGGAGCAAUGCCGCGUGAGUGAAGAAGGCCUUCGGGUCGUAAAACUCUGUUAUAAGAGAAGAACAAAUUGUAGAGUAACUGCUACAGUCUUGACGGUAUCUUAUCAGAAAGCCACGGCUAACUACGUGCCAGCAGCCGCGGUAA